GGUCAAAUAUUCAAUUUCCUAUUUUUCGUCCGAAACUUAAUUAAGAUGUAAAUUUAUUAAUUAAUUAUUACUUAAGAUUGUUUUAUCAUCGUAUAAUACGCUAUUCAAGCCAUUAUACACAGUGUAACGCAAUUGCAAUCUCGUUUUUAAUCGUUUAGAUUAGAUCAAUUGCAUCGACUGGCAUUCGAGUUACAAUGAGGCAUGCGAAAAUCAAUAUAAAUCGAUAACUGAAAAUCGAUUUACCCGAUACGAUAAACGACUAUGUAAUCGAUUUCGCGUAUAUUUUUUAAUAAAUGCAUAUACAUUUCUUUUUUUUUUAUUAAUUUAUAAUUCGUACGAAAAUACGUUUUAUGUGUUUCGCUUAAUGGCAAAUAUGAAUUAAUU